rnacentral:lncRNA from 1 species
GAAUGAGAAUGAAUGGACUCGUCACUGUCUGCAGAAGAGAUACUUAUAUAUAGUUAGAUCAAUCUCCAUCGACUCGACCUGUUUCACAAAUGACACAUUCGAUUGGCUGAAAGUGCCCGUUUAAAUAAGCAAAUAACUGGCGAAGGGUCCUAAGAUUCUCGCUGUGAUUCUAAAAAGGACAUUUCAGCUCGAGGAAGCCAUCGGCUGAAGCCAAACGCGUCCCCAAUAACGCGUCCUUGCAUCCUGGCUUAUUUCCUGCUGCCAUCUGUUGAUACAAACAGGUUUUGAUGAAUGUGGGACACUGAGAUCACCGCGGUGCAGAGGUCACCGAGUCUGGCCCUCACGUGCACCGUGCAGGCCUGGACGCUCAAAUCCUCUUAUAACCUCCCCCCAAACACACACGCAUCUUACAGCACUCAGACUACAAGAUCAGCUCACCGUGGUCAGGUCUUAUCCUGGAGAUGCGGAACCUCGGGCGGAGUCACGCCAGCAGGUAUCAAACGCCACAGACAACCCAGUGACCUCCGAGGGGAGGUCACUGGGUUGUCCUUGCAGCCUGACAUCAAAACCUGAAGCGCCACAAAUGUUCAUCGGAGUCCCAAAACGGUCUCAGAAUUCUUAUUUUUCUGUUCACAACUUCUCUUUUCUGCCCCCAAACUCCAACAGGUGCCUCCGUUUUUGGAACGACGCCGUUUGUGGGGGUGAAACGCGGGAGUCCCUGAUUUUGACGUCACUCGUGCAGCCCGGUCCGGUCCAGCCUGCUACUGCGGCGUCGUGCACGUUUUGGUUUUCCCUCCCUUCCAUUUGGGGCGUCCUGCAGAAAGAGCGGAUGGGAAAUUCUGAUGUCAUCAACCUUGACGCAGCAGGACAACGGAGGGCCCUCGGGGGGGCCGCGAUUUGGUGCCCAUGUGUUUGUGCCCCGUAGAUGGUGCGGUGGAUGGUGUGGCGCUGCCCGCCUGUGCUGCACCUGCGUCCCAGCACGCUGAUUGAUCAGUUUGGUCAUGUGGAAUGUCACCAUCUGCUCCCCGGUCCCGCUCACCCCUUCUUGUGUGAACGCCAAUCACUGGCAGGAAGGUGGUUAUUUAAGCCAUGUCAAAUCAGGCGCGUGAUGAUGAGCAGCGUGCCAGCAACGUUUGUCUGCUCAACUCUGACUAUUACAGCAACAAAGCACCCGGCAUAUUUGAUUCACGCCCUCUUAUUUGCCCUCAUCUUCUCAUUUAAGACAAAAUAAAAUAAAUUCAGAUUUCUUUUUUAGAUGGUUUCCGCACCAACUCCCUCCUUCCCUUCUUUUGUCCAGAACAAGGCUCCUUAUUUAUUUCCCCUCCGUCCCCUUCAGUUGCUCCUUUUUGGCCUCCUAAUGGCCGCCGACGUAUCGGGGGGGGCCAUCGGGGGUGACAUUCUUCAUUGUAGAGCGUCACAACCAAUGACAUUUCAACCAUGGGAAAAUAAAGAUAUGCAAAUUAGAACUCAUUAACAUUUGCAUUACCUGUUUGAAUAAUCGCAGUCCUGACAAGAGCGCAAUUAACUAAGAUUGAUGCAAAGUUCAGGGUUAGGGGACUGUAUAUAUUUGCUCUAGGAUCAUUUAGCUGAGCUGUGUGUGUGUGUGUGUGUGUGUGCGUGUGUGAUAGGAAAAAUGAUCUCUGUCAGAGGGAAAAGGUCAUUCCUGAAACGCGGCUACACUCACAUUUUGGUGCUGUUUGAUUUUCCUGAACUGCAUCCGAGGUGCAAACAGGCGACGGGAGACUUUAGAGGGACGGGAGACGCUGACCUGCUGACCCAGUUAACUCUGGAUCUUCAGGAUUAGGCCGCCGCUGCUCACCUCCAGAACCGCUGAUGCCUCCCUGACCUCAGAUCAGUCAGGCACGUCAGUGCAGCCACACAAAAGACAGUUUCAGAUUAAAUUCAGGAGUUUACGUCCAUAUUAUCAGUGUUAAGACCUCAAGACUGACAUUAUCAAUCAUUAUUAAAACAUCUAUUUUGGACGAUAAGGCUUCAAAGACUUGAAGAGGUUUAUAAAACAUCACUAAAUAGGUUUUAUUGUAUCAUUUUAAUGUAUUUUAAUGGUUAUUUCUAUGUUACCUAAUGGUAAUAUUAUCAUUAUUAACUAUGAUUAUGAACUAAUUUGGUCCCCAGUUAACUUGAUUGGUCAAAAACUGAACCUUAAUACUCGUGUGUGUGUGUGUGUGUGUGUGCGCGUGUGUGUGUGUGUGUGUGUUACAGUAAAGAAAUAUUUAAGAGUAGUUAAUAAAAUGGGGGUUUAUCUUGUUUAAAGCGUCUUUGCUUCCAUUCAUUGCAAGAAUUCCGAAGGCACGACCGCUCCUCUGUGAUUGUUUGUGUUGUUGACGUCCUGAUGUGAGUCAACAAACAACAACAGUUGGAGAAAAGCACCAAUGAAAAUCACAGUGUGGACAUGAGUGGAGCAUCGGCAGUAGGUCACAGUCGGCCUCAGACGUGCAGACAGAGACUUAAGGUGCAGGAAGUGGGAGUGUUCUUUCGUUCUUGAGCGCCUCACCCAGACGUCUACCGUAUAAAUAACUUUUAACCUCCCUCCUCGCAGCACGCCACGCCACACGUGCCUCCAACCCAAGCCUUUGCUCUAUUUGUGAAUGUGGGGCAGACGAGGGUGUGGUGAUUGGUGUUUACUGGGAACCAUUACCUGACUAACACCAGAUAAGCUGCUGCGCGUCACGGCUGCAGGGGCCACGUCCACUCUUUGGUCCUGGGGAGGGACAGUUGAACAGUGACAUCAGGGCUAAAAUGACAGUGAAGAAUAAAGCGUGUAGCCCACACUGGAGGUGGCUCCAUCUCCAUCUGCUCUGCUGGAGGUGUGUGCCCAUAGGCGGGGGGCAAAUCCCCCUUUCAGUGGUGUUUUUGUGACAGGAAUUCCCCCAAUCGAAAAGGUCGACCAACAUGAAACACGUCCACGUCCAGAUCCAGGUGAUCCUGCGGGUGAAUGAUCUGAAAUAGAGUGAAAAGAAAGCAGGUUGGUCUGAUCCAGUGUGGUAGGACAGAGAAGCAUCAGCCACCGUCCCCCCCCCCCCUCUGCUGCUGCAAUGGUCCGGCCCAGAUUUGCAUAAGUUGUCUGCUGGGUCGCUGCAUGGCCAGCAGGGGAAGGUUAGAGGAAGGAGUGCAUGUGGGUUACGUGCACAUGAGUAGAGAGUCAGGAGAGAGGCAGCAGUGUGGACUGUGCUGUCAGCCCGGAGUGUCGCU